AGUGAACGCUGGCGGUAGGCCUAACACAUGCAAGUCGAACGGCAGCACAGUAAGAGCUUGCUCUUACGGGUGGCGAGUGGCGGACGGGUGAGGAAUACAUCGGAAUCUACUUUUUCGUGGGGGAUAACGUAGGGAAACUUACGCUAAUACCGCAUACGACCUACGGGUGAAAGCAGGGGAUCUUCGGACCUUGCGCGAUUGAAUGAGCCGAUGUCGGAUUAGCUAGUUGGCGGGGUAAAGGCCCACCAAGGCGACGAUCCGUAGCUGGUCUGAGAGGAUGAUCAGCCACACUGGAACUGAGACACGGUCCAGACUCCUAGGGGAGGCAGCAGUGGGGAAUAUUGGACAAUGGGCGCAAGCCUGAUCCAGCCAUACCGCGUGGUGAAGAAGGCCUUCGGGUUGUAAAGCCCUUUUGUUGGGAAAGAAAAGCAGCAGGUUAAUACCCCGCUGUUCUGACGGUACCCAAAGAAUAAGCACCGGCUAACUUCGUG
rnacentral:rRNA from 1 species